GAUGAACGCUGACAGAAUGCUUAACACAUGCAAGUCAACUUGAACUUCGGUUUGGGUGGCGGACGGGUGAGUAACGCGUAAAGAACUUGCCUCACAGCUAGGGACAACAUUUGGAAACGAAUGCUAAUACCUGAUAUUAUGAUUUUAGGGCAUCCUAGAAUUAUGAAAGCUAUAUGCGCUGUGAGAGAGCUUUGCGUCCCAUUAGCUAGUUGGAGAGGUAACGGCUCACCAAGGCGAUGAUGGGUAGCCGGCCUGAGAGGGUGAACGGCCACAAGGGGAAUGAGACACGGCCCUUACUCCUACGGGAGGCAGCAGUGGGGAAUAUUGGACAAUGGACCAAGAGUCUGAUCCAGCAAUUCUGUGUUCACGAUGAAGUUUUUCGGAAUGUAAAGUGCUUUCAGUUGGGAAGAAAAAAAUGAAGGUACCAACAGAAGAAGUGACGGCUAAAUACGUG
rnacentral:rRNA from 1 species